UGCUGGACCUGAGUAGGUCAGUUCCUGCCUGGGACCAGAAGGGAUAAGAUAAAGGAACUCUUCAGACAAGGAAGCCUGGGAAAGACCCUACUCUAGCAGGGAACAGACAAAGAACCCAAGGACUGUAGCCCUAAGAGCAGCAGCACAAGAGUCAGCAAAGUUCCAGAGUUGAAAACGGGGAUUUGAAUGAAGAUCUGUUAGAGGAGAAGGGAGACAAGCCCCUGUUCUUUAGAGGUGGAGCUUAGGAAGAAAGGCUAUGACAGCUACAGAUGCAGCAAUGGUAGUGACCAGAAGAAUGGAAGAGACCGUGAAGAUAACUGGAUGUGGAAGCUGCAGGAUGUACAUUGCUCUGGAGAGGGUACCUGAAAGGUGCUUCUUUUGUCUGAACUGCUGCCCAAUAAACCUAUUGGAAAAGAAGAUCCCAGGUUUGGAGAUGCAGAUAGAAACUAUGGCUGUGUUUUCCCACCCGCCACCCCCCCAAAAAAGGGGGGAUUUGAGCAGAUGAUGGAGGAAAGGCAAGAGGAAGCUGAAGACAUGCAGAUGAAUGCUGGCCCAGAGAACGGUGAGGGGAGACUGCUAGACGAAGAAAACAGGAUCUGAUUUGGAUAUAGAUAUUUUUAACAAAAUAAAUAUUAAUGGGAAU